GAGGAUGCGAGCGUUAUCCGGAUUUAUUGGGUUUAAAGGGUGCGCAGGCGGACUGUUAAGUCAGCGGUAAAAUUGCGGGGCUCAACCCCGUCGAGCCGUUGAAACUGGUAGUCUUGAGUGGGCGAGAAGUAUGCGGAAUGCGUGGUGUAGCGGUGAAAUGCAUAGAUAUCACGCAGAACUCCGAUUGCGAAGGCAGCAUACCGGCGCCCAACUGACGCUCAUGCACGAAAGCGUGGGUAUCGAA
rnacentral:rRNA from 1 species